GUCUGGUUCAGUCUACUCCUGCACUAGGACAUCUAAGUUGGUAUUACCGUCAUACCGCGGGUCUGAGCUUGUCACUGUUUUCUCCUCACUCCUUUCUCCGUCUCCGGCCGGUUGACGAAUUGACGGUGCUGGUGCUGGAGCUGCUUUGCUGAAAUUGACGAGCUGACAUGCAAAAGCAAUCCACCCUGAAGGGACUUGAGAGUUUUGGGCUUAAAGGUCACAUCAGGUCACCCAGAGGCUUUUUCAGAGCCUUGUAGGAGGAACACACCAGGACAAAUGAGAACCGCAUCAGAAGCAGAUAUUCCAUAUUCAAAUGGUUCCAAUGGGAUUCAGCCGUAAUGCCACGAGUGCCAUUUUCAUAUUUUACCAGCGGAAAACUUACACAGACUGUCAAAAUGGCACAAAUCAUUGUGUCACGCAAUGGCUUUGUGCCUAGACAUGUGAGGAUGUGCUAAA